CUGGCUCAGGAUGAACGCUGGCGGCGUGCUUAACACAUGCAAGUCGAACGAAGCAACUUAUUACGAUCCCUUCGGGGUGACGAUUUGUUGACUGAGUGGCGGACGGGUGAGUAACGCGUGGGUAACCUGCCUUGUACAGGGGGACAACAGUUGGAAACGACUGCUAAUACCGCAUAAGCGCACAGCUUCGCAUGAAGCAGUGUGAAAAGUUAUUUCGGUACAAGAUGGACCCGCGUCUGAUUAGCUAGUUGGUGAGGUAACGGCCCACCAAGGCGACGAUCAGUAGCCGACCUGAGAGGGUGACCGGCCACAUUGGGACUGAGACACGGCCCAAACUCCUACGGGAGGCAGCAGUGGGGAAUAUUGCACAAUGGGCGAAAGCCUGAUGCAGCGACGCCGCGUGAGCGAAGAAGUAUUUCGGUAUGUAAAGCUCUAUCAGCAGGGAAGAUAAUGACGGUACCUGACUAAGAAGCACCGGCUAAAUACGUGCCAGCAGCCGCGGUAAUACGUAUGGUGCAAGCGUUAUCCGGAUUUACUGGGUGUAAAGGGAGCGUAGGCGGUUUUACAAGUCUGAUGUGAAAGCCCGGGGCUCAACUCCGGUAUUGCAUUGGAAACUGUGGAACUAGAGUGUCGGAGGGGUAAGUGGAAUUCCUAGUGUAGCGGUGAAAUGCGUAGAUAUUAGGAGGAACACCAGUGGCGAAGGCGGCUUACUGGACGAUUACUGACGCUGAGGCUCGAAAGCGUGGGGAG
rnacentral:rRNA from 1 species